UACGUAUGAGGCGAGCGUUGUUCGGAAUUAUUGGGUGUAAAGGGCGUCUAGGCGGGGGAUUAAGUUAGGUGUGAAAGCCGUGAGCUCAACUCACGAAUUGCAUCUAAAACUGGUUCUCUUGAGUUCGGAAGAGGAGAGCGGAAUUCCCGGUGUAGCGGUGAAAUGCGUAGAUAUCGGGAAGAACACCAGUGGCGAAGGCGGCUCUCUGGUCUAGAACUGACGCUGAAGCGCGAAAGUGUGGGGAGCAAACAGGAUUAGAUACCCUGGUAGUCCACACCGUAAACGUUGUAUACUAGGUGUUAGCAGUUUAUCUGCUAGUGCCGUAGCUAACGCAUUAAGUAUACCACCUGGGGAGUACGCCCGCAAGGGUG
rnacentral:rRNA from 1 species